CAGUUCCAGGAAAAAUGGUCAUUCUUAUACUUCUCUUCAUGUUUUACCCAAUAAGUGUCCUUUGUCAGACAAUACAGGAGUCAGGUCCAGGACUUGUGAAGCCUUCACAGCCACUCGAAAUGACCUGUAUAGUGUCUGGAUUUGAGUUAACUAACUACAAUGUGCAUUGGAUCCGAAAAACUGGGAAAGGGUUCGAAUGGAUUGGAAUAAUAUGGAGUGGGGGUGGUACACGGUAUACUGAUUCACUAAAGAGCAGAAUCACAAUCUCAAAAGACAAUGGCAAGAAGCAGGUCAAACUCCAGAUUGAUAACAUGGAGACUACAGAUUCUGGAGUGUAUUAUUGUGCUAGAGAGACACAGUACAACACAGCAAUGAGGAGAUCGAACAACAUCCAACUGUGUCUACCAGGAAAUAGAUGAACCAC